rnacentral:rRNA from 1 species
UACGUAGGUGGCAAGCGUUGUCCGGAGUUAUUGGGCGUAAAGCGCGCGCAGGCGGUGCGGUAAGUCUCUGGUGAAAGCGCUCGGCUUAACUGGGCGAGGGCCGGGGAGACUGCCACGCUGGAGGGGAGCAGAGGCGAGUGGAAUUCCGGGUGUAGUGGUGAAAUGCGUAGAGAUCGGGAGGAACACCCGUGGCGAAGGCGGCCAUCUGGACCAGCACUGAUGCUGAGGCACGAAAGCGUGGGGAGCAAACAGG